GGACGCAGAGGCAGUUUUUGGCAUCCAAAUGUGCGCCAUGGGACUUUUUGGGAGUCAUAACUCUCGGACAAACGGCAUGUCUUCCUGGCAAACUCAACUCCCAGGCGGCCCAGGUCGCGCGGACGUCGGAAGCUGCGCGCUCAGACGGGUCCCAGCGCGAGGCAAGUGCUUGGUAAAUACUUCUGAAAGAGCACACGCAUGCAAAUGUGCUUCGGCUGGCGUGAAGCAGGACUUGUCGAAUAGGUGUGUAUGUGAGCAGUGUACCUUGUGUGUUUAGUCGGUCCGCACAAUAAAUCGUCAAGUCUGUAAUACAGAUUACGGGGUGUAGGGGAGCUUUUAGGAAGAUGGGCUGGUGACUGCUAUUUAAGGACAGCUGUCACCACUUAACAGUGACCUGAGCACUGCCAGGCAUUUAGCAAGUCUUGAUAGACUUUCAUUUGAUUUUACUGCGCACUGGCCCCACCGGCCCAGAGGGAUGGGUUACUCUGCUGGGUCAGAACCUGAUGCAGAGAGGGACGUGGUCCUUUACCUGAGGUGGGAGAGCCCAAGGGGAGGCUUUAGGGAGAUCACCCUGCUAGGAGGCAGCUGAGGAAUGUGGUCUUCUCAGAUUUAGAGGUUUGCAGUCCUUCCCUCAGGCCUUACUUCUCACUCAUAAAGUAGGUCUCUAGAAGCUGCCUGAGCUCUAAGUGUGUCAGGGUCAAGAUCUGGAAGGUGUGGAAAGGGCCAGCUCACACCUGCUCCCUGCCCCUUAUACUUUCUUCUGCUGUCACUGUUUGCCCAGUCUUGAGGCCUUGGACCCCAGGGCCCCUGCCCUGCCCAGUUUAGAUUUGCUACCACCCAGGCUGGGCUAGGAGAGAAUUCCUGGGGAAUUUCCAGAGCUUGGAGACAGAAGUGCUGCUCAAAAAAGUAACCCAGCAAAGGCCAAACUAACACCCUCCAACCCUUUCCUAGAGACCACUCCCCUCUCCCUUUAAACAGAAGACAGCCAUGCCCCAAAGACAGAGCCUUGAAAGUUAUCCCCUCUCCCCAAGGAACACAUUAGGAUAGGACUGAAGUAUGAGAUGGGAAUUUUAUUGACUCUGUUUAAAAACUGUGAUCUCACCUAAUUUUGCAGCAGCCUCUUCGGCAUUCAGAGGGAGGCACUGAUGUGUGCACUUCCCUCUGCUGCCCACUGGAUCCCAAGUUCCUGGGGCAUCCGUGGCUUUGUCCUACACCUCCAUUCUCCUGCCUACCCUCACCAUGCCCCCAGGAGACACUGUGUCUACUGGAUGCUGUGACUGAUGCUGUGUUUCCCUAGCAGCCCCUCCCGUUACUCCAGUGGACAGAUCAGAGUGGCUAUGGAUCUGGUGGCAGCUUGAGGCUGGGUGCAUGUGUGUCACUUGGCAGUGGGGGAACCUUCCAUAGGAGAAGGUAACUUGCAUGGAGGACGUAGACCCUCUCACCUCUGGGUAGUAGGGUGUGUGCUCCUCUGCCCACCAAAUGGACAGCCUGAGUUCCACGUCAAGGAGGGAGAGGACAAACGAUGUCCCCAUGGCCUCCAGGUUCAAGUCUGAGCCUUCCUGGCAACCUUAAAAAUCUCACCUCCUGUACUCACCGUUUCUCAGGACCUAGGGCACCCAGGGGCCCUGCUCUUAGCUGGAGGGUCCCUCUUGUCCCCUCACCCCCUCCCCUGCGCAUACUAGGCACUGGGAAGCCCCCUUCUGUCCCUGACCCACCAGACACCCAGUGGUUCCCUCACCUGUGUCAGAGUUCUCCACACCCAGCUGUGCCCGCAGUUGCUCUGCAUCCCUGCCCCAGGGCAGGGACCAGCCCUAGAAUGGCUUUGUAAAUCGAAGCGAGGGCUGGCAGUCAGAUGGUUGGUUACCUACAGAAUUUUUAGCCAGUAUUCACAUAUCACAAAAGGCACCGAUGACAAUAGAUUAAAGGUAUGAUGCCCCUUCCCUGUUAAUCCAGCUUCAGAAAUGCCCAGUGAGGCCCAAGGGUGCUCAUUCUGGCCUUGUGGGGGCAGGGUGUCAGCACCUCCUGCCACCCUGAAUCAAAAGGCUGUUCAAUAACGUGCGACGCUUGGUCCCCUGCUGGACAGCCCGCUGGCUCCUAUCCGGUUUCCCCAGGAGGGACCCCAGGGAGCGGCUGUGCUGCCGAACCAGGACCGGGAAAGGGGCCGGAGACAAGCUCAGGCUGCUGCACUCCAGCUUCGGACGCUCCAGGCCGCCGCACGAAGGAAGAGGAGCGCGAGGCGGGCGAGACGAGGGCGCAGCUUGGCACCCGGGCACAGCUGUCCGGUGCUCGGCGCCCUCGCCCAGCUCGGCCUCAACGCGCAGGCGGCGGGGAAUCCACAAGCCGCAACUCGACUCCGAAACACAUCUCCCAGCCUGAGCCCCGACUGCGCGCUGGGAAGCUGGGACGCCACUGUCACCGUGACCAGGCUGUCAGCCGUGAGCCUCCGGCGGCCGCCCAGCAGAGCCAGCGCAAGUGGCCCAAGCGGUGCCCAGUUGUGAAUUUGGAGAGGGCCUGGGCGCUUCUGCUGCACCUCCGUCCUCCUUCCUUUCUCCCUCUCCUGCUGUCUUGCUCUCGCUGUGUCAGUCUCUUCCCCUCCCUUCUUUAUUCUCAUUCUCCACCAACACCUUUGCCUGAAUCGUAUUUUUAUUUUCCCUGUUAUCAAUAUGUUCUUUGCCCAGCCACUAAGAGCCAGAAAGUAGGAAGUCUCAGGUCAGCCCAGACGCCGUGAAAGAGCCUACGUCAUCCGCAGGCACAGUGGGGCCCAGAAGCCCUUCUCUAGAGAGGCUAGGACACUCAGUGCCUGGACAUGAGAGAUCCAAGAACAUUGAAUAAACUUCUCAAGGCCAUUCCCAGAAUGGCACUUUCAGCAGCUCCCUGAAACUUACAGGAACAAAGCUGAGGAGACUUAAGAUAGACAGAAGAGGAGAAGAUGCAGGCAGAGAAGGCCCUGCAAAGAGGGAGGCAGAAGCCAGAGCAACACAGCAGCCAGCCAAGGGAUGCCUUGGUCACCAGCGCCUGGAAGAGCAGGAAGUGAUGGAUGUUUCUGAGCACUUGUUACUUUCAACAUCUGUAAAAAGAAGACCUUCUACUUGGAAAAGUAAU